CUGCUAUAAGCAAACGAGCAGUCUGCAACUCCACCACUAACACAAAGAAACACGUUAUGGACAUCUAAUUGUGUUCAUCUAACAGAGUGCAGAGCUGGGCUCAAAUGAAGGAUUUAACCUGAUACAGGCUCUUUUUAAAAGACAAGGAAGCAGCUCAUUCACAUACACGGUAGAUGAAAUAUGCUCUGUAUAUUGUUAUAAAUUAACCUGGCAAAAUUAAAUUAAACUAACAACAGCAGAAAGAGAGGAUUUACCCGAUCAUUUUUCUUUCCCACUCAAACAUUUCUGCAGUUUGUCGUAUUUUAGUUUUUUUUCCUCUCUCCUUCAAAGCAGCUGCUUCCUCCUAUCAUUAAUUGUGUCUCUUGUGUCCUACCGAGCCGUCUUUCUCUUGAUCUCAGUGUUUGUGUGUGUUAUUUGCCUAAUGCUUCUUUGAAUUAUAGAUGGUUCCUCUGGAUUUCAAUCUUUUAAAUAUUAAAAGUUAAUUUACAGGGAACACUAAUGCAUUAAACAUCCACAACUAUUCAUUUCCUCACUUAAAAAAAGAAGAGCGAGGAGUACCGGCAAAGAUCUUUAACUAGAGUGAAGUGUACAUACAAAAGAAAGACUAUUAUCUUAAGAUUGAUGUGCAGCAGCUGUUUCAUCACUGAAAAUAUCACAGCAUUACGACAGCAUCCUGGUAGACUGAGCACAGCAUGGAAACAUAAAAUAAGCAUCCAGCUUUAUCUGUGAUUGUAGAUUUCAGUUCAGAUAUGCAGCUGUUUAGAAGACACUGCAACAGCCUGUUAGCGCUAUUUCAUCUUUAAUAAGAAAGAAGAAGAGUGAAACGGUGCCACAACAGAAGAUAAAAGACUAAGAAGAAAAUGGGCCUCAUCGCAGCAGGAGGCACAAGAAGGUUUCUUAAGAACAGAAGAUGAUUCAACCUGCAGCCAGUGGGUGGAAGCUUUUACAAUAUUGUUCCAUGGAGACGCCCAGUGGUCGCUUGGUUUUUCUAAAGAAAAAAUUGUUAGAUGAACAGGAAACGAGGCAUGUUGCGUCUUUGGCAGGACGCAUGUGGGGAAAAAAUCCUGGACAAACUGAUCUCAGAGACACCAAAGCAGCAACAGCAACAUACAACACAAUGGUCUCAAUGAUAACCAAUUGAAAAGGCACAAUCUGUGAUCAAAAGACAAACAUACAUGGUCCCCACACCACUAAAAGCAAAACAAAGGAUUUUAACCUGCUAUGACUGCCCUGACACUUCUGUUGACGUAAAGCUCACAGGCUAAUGUUUAACACAUGUACUGUAUUUACCAUUUCAACCCUCUUAGUUUAGCGUGUUAGCAUGCAAACAUUUGCUAAUUAACACUAAACACAAUGUACAACUGAGACUUACCCAUUUUGCAGGCAUUACUUUAAUUUGUUAUUAAUUAUUCAUAGUCAAGUGAGUUUCACAAUAUCACAAAUCAGCUCAAGGUUUACAAUCUGUACAGCAUACAACACCCUCUGUCGAUUCGGAUAAGGAAAAACUCCCCCUAAAUAGCACCUUCACAGGGAAAAAAGUAAAAAAAAUCUGAUUAGGUUUAAAAUCAACAUGAUGGAAUUUAGUUUCAGACAGUUUCACCAGUUUGUAAUUUUGAAUAAUUUAUAAUUAUACUGGAUUUCUUCUGGCAUGUAAAAUGACAAAUGAAAUAUUGUAUUUAUUUAACAUACACUUUUAGAUCAAAUUAAAUUUGACUAUACUGCUAUAUUUUCCAUACUUCA